UGGGGAAUCUUAGACAAUGGGCGCAAGCCUGAUCUAGCGAUGCCGCGUGAGUGACGAAGGCCCUAGGGUCGUAAAGCUCUUUCGCCAGGGAUGAUAAUGACAGUACCUGGUAAAGAAACCCCGGCUAACUCCGUGCCAGCAGCCGCGGUAAUACGGAGGGGGUUAGCGUUGUUCGGAAUUACUGGGCGUAAAGCGCGCGUAGGCUGACUAUUAAGUCAGGGGUGAAAUCCCGGGGCUCAACCCCGGAACUGCCUUUGAUACUGGUAGUCUAGAGUUCGAGAGAGGUGAGUGGAAUUCCAAGUGUAGAGGUGAAAUUCGUAGAUAUUUGGAGGAACACCAGUGGCGAAGGCGGCUCACUGGCUCGAUACUGACGCUGAGGUGCGAAAGUGUGGGGAGCAAACAGGAUUAGAUACCCCCGUAGUCC
rnacentral:rRNA from 1 species